CCUACGGGAGGCAGCAGUGGGGAAUAUUGCACAAUGGGGGAAACCCUGAUGCAGCAACGCCGCGUGAAGGAAGAAGGUUUUCGGCUUGUAAACUUCUAUCAAUAGGGAAGAAAGAAAUGACGGUACCUAAAUAAGAAGCCACGGCUAACUACGUGCCAGCAGCCGCGGUAAUACGUAGGGGGCAAGCGUUAUCCGGAAUUAAUGGGUGUAAAGGGAGAGUAGGCGGCAAGGUAAGCGAUAUGUGAAAGCCUUAAGCUUAACUUAAGGAUGGCAUAACGAACUAUCUAGCUAGAGUACAGGAGAGGAAAGCGGAAUUCCUAGUGUAGCGGUGAAAUGCGUAGAUAUUAGGAAGAACACCAGUGGCGAAGGCGGCUUUCUGGACUGAAACUGACGCUGAGGCUCGAAAGCGUGGGGAGCGAACAGGAUUAGAUACCCGUGUAGUC
rnacentral:rRNA from 1 species